AUUGAACGCUGGCGGCAGGCCUAACACAUGCAAGUCGAACGGUAACAGGAAACAGCUUGCUGUUUCGCUGACGAGUGGCGGACGGGUGAGUAAUGUCUGGGAAACUGCCUGAUGGAGGGGGAUAACUACUGGAAACGGUAGCUAAUACCGCAUAACGUCGCAAGACCAAAGAGGGGGACCUUCGGGCCUCUUGCCAUCGGAUGUGCCCAGAUGGGAUUAGCUAGUAGGUGGGGUAACGGCUCACCUAGGCGACGAUCCCUAGCUGGUCUGAGAGGAUGAUCAGCCACACUGGAACUGAGACACGGUCCAGACUCCUACGGGAGGCAGCAGUGGGGAAAAUUGCACAAUGGGCGCAAGCCUGAUGCAGCCAUGCCGCGUGUAUGAAGAAGGCCUUCGGGUUGUAAAGUACUUUCAGCGGGGAGGAAGGGAGUAAAGUCAAUACCUUUGCUCAUUGACGUUACCCGCAGAAGAAGCACCGGCUAACUCCGUGCCAGCCGCCGCAGUAA
rnacentral:rRNA from 1 species